rnacentral:rRNA from 1 species
AGUGAACGCUGGCGGUAGGCCUAACACAUGCAAGUCGAACGGAAGCACAGUAAGAGCUUGCUCUUACGGGUGGCGAGUGGCGGACGGGUGAGGAAUACAUCGGAAUCUACUUUUUCGUGGGGGAUAACGUAGGGCCACUUACGCUAAUACCGCAUACGACCUACGGGUGAAAGCAGGGGAUAUUCGGACCUUGCGCGACUGAAUGAGCUGAUGUCGGAUUAGCUAGUUGGCGGGGUAAAGGCCCACCAAGGCGACGAUACGUAGCUGGUCUGAGAGGAUGAUCAGCCACACUGGAACUGAGACACGGUCCAGACUCCUACGGGAGGCAGCAGUGGGGAAUAUUGGACAAUGGGCGCAAGCCUGAUCCAGCCAUGCCGCGUGAGUGAAGAAGGCCUUCGGGUUGUAAAGCCCUUUUGUUGGGAAAGAAAAGCAGCAGGUUAAUACCCCGCUGUUCUGACGGUACCCAAAGAAUAAGCACCGGCUAACUACGUG